GCUGGAAUAGCUCAGUCGGUAGAGCGACGCACUCGUAAUGCGUAGGUCGUCAGUUCAAAUCUGAUUUCCAGCU
rnacentral:tRNA from 3 species